CUUCAUAUUUCCGUAGAAGGUGGUGCAACCGGAAGUCACAAUAAAAGCCACCUGAAUUCACAAAAUCCUUUGCAGUGCGCGCGGCUGACCAGCUGAUCGAAGUCAGAGCCACCGGAAGUGAAGUUGUUUGACUUUCAAAAUAAUGGAGCACGGUUUGCGUCUACAUGAGACUCCUUGAAGUUGAAGUACUACUGUACUAGUACCAGAUAUGUCAGAUACAUACAUCGGAGUACAUGCAAUACUGCGUGUACUCCUUCUCCAGGUCUGAUUGACCACAAACAGACGCCGAAGCUGCUGAUACCAAUGACGUCAUAGAUUGAGGACGGCUCGGAGGGAUCAGUAACGUUUUUAUUGGUGUCAUGGCGCCGUCACCAUGGUAACCUCGCAUGGAGCGCUGUAUUGUGGGAACUGAUCUCCUCUCAAACAACAGAAACCUUUGACGUCGUCCUUCAGUAAAAUGUUAAAUCUGGUGUUAAAACUAUAAGAUGUCAAAGCUCACGCUGUUUCACUUGACUUCUUCCCUCCUUCCUAAAGAUGUUAAAAGUCUUAUAAAACUCUGAUCUAAUUAAUGUGAAACCAGAAAAACACAAAUCAGCAGCAAUAAUCAUCAAAUAUUAAACUAUACGUGAAAACAAAUGAGGACUAAAUGUUCCGUGUUAGUAGCUGAUCAUCACGCUGUAACGAUUAAGAGAAGACAAACGCUUCACUAGAAGAUGAAGAAGAACUUGUUUCAGAUCCACUGGAUUCAUAAGCAUCUUAUCGAUGUCACACGGCCCCCCACUGACAUCCCACCGACGUCACUCCCUUCACACUGCUCACACACACCGGCCUCCUUCACACACAGCACGUUGUCUCCUCGGUCUUGUUGUCCAUGUCGCACCGACAAGUCAAAUUCCUUGAAUGUCUCCGAUAUUCUGGUAACAAUUCCUGAUUCCUGAGGGGACUCCAGGUGGUAGACACGUCCCAGAUGUUCCUCUGAGAGCCUGACGGGGAACGUGUUCUCGGCGGACUGGCCCUGCGGGUCCCGAGUGGCGCCCCCCCCCCCCCCUCAGGCUCGGGGCAGGAAGCGGAGGUUGAUGGGCUUUGCCGGGAUGAGCAGGGUCCGAGUCUUG
ensembl:lncRNA